rnacentral:lncRNA from 1 species
AGCCAUGCCAGCUGGGAGCCUAGGAGUGCCAGACAGAGAGGCCACCCACCCGCAGUUAGAGAGACUUCCUCCUUCGCCGGCUCCUCAGAGCCACCACACCACAGAAACCAAAUCUUCCCUCUCUUGGAGGCUUGCAUUUGCCCAAUUCAUGACAUCAUCUCCUGCAAUCUUUCUGAUGUGAAAUAACCAAGACUACUCAAUAAUACCAACAACAAAAAGUAUUGCAUACUGCUUAGAAACAAGAGAAUAUAGGGGAGACAAAGGACCAUGAGUUGCAGAAGGACCCACAUGUUUUCGGCAGUCUAGACCUUAGGGGUGCCUUUGUCCCGUGUAACGUGUUUAAAAAGAGCUCAGAUCAGCUGUGGAGUCGGCGAGGCCUAGAGGAGGCAGAACAGGAAUGACUGACACAUCUGUCAACUUCAUUAUUUUCAGUCUUGAAAAACUUAACAAAAGCCUGACUAUAAUUAACAAGACAAGAAAGAAGUGUUGGAGAGGAUGUGGAAAAAAGGGAACCCUCAUACACUGCUGGUGGGAAUGCAAACUGGU